CAGUCGCCGCGGUAAUACGAAGGGUGCAAGCGUUAAUCGGAAUUACCGGGCGUAAAGCGUGCGUAGGCGGUGAGUUAAGUCUGCUGUGAAAUCCCCGGGCUCAACCUGGGAAUGGCAGUGGAUACUGGCUCGCUAGAGUGUGUCAGAGGAUGGUGGAAUUCCCGGUGUAGCGGUGAAAUGCGUAGAGAUCGGGAGGAACAUCAGUGGCGAAGGCAGCCAUCUGGGACAACACUGACGCUGAGGCACGAAAGCGUGGGGAGCAAACAGGAUUAGAUACCCCCGUAGUCCCUGUCUCUUAUAC
rnacentral:rRNA from 1 species